CUUUAUUGACCCGCCCUGGGAGUUACGUCACACGCCUGCCAACGCUUCUGCGAGAGAAGGGGGAGGGAGAGAGAAAGAGAGUCAAAGAGACACCGGCAUUGGACGUGAAAAGCCAUCCCGCCGUUGAACGGUUGAGACGCACCAGGAACAUAGAAGAUAGAAAAGAAAGUAAGAAAGUAGGACUCACCUCAAUCUACGGUUAGAACAACAAGGGCAAGACUGAAGUAUACUGUGUGAUGUGACCCGCGUUUUAAGUGGUAUCACUGUUAUCAAAGAGGAAUUAAGAGUGAGCUCUGGGGGAAGUUAUAACUGCGUUAGAUCGCGAGCUGGGUUUUAGUGGUCGAGGGUGAUAUUUCAGUGGGACCGGUGACGAGCUGUGGUUUUAGUCUCACCUGCGAGGACUCUUAACGUUACUCAUCCAACUUCACACCUCUAGACCCGGGGAACACCGGUGGAGGGGGGGAGGAAGCGCGUAAAAACAUAUCCGAGCCUCUAGUAGCCGUACACGGAAGAGGAGGAGGAGGAGAAGGAGGAGGAGGAGAGUCCGGCUGGCACAAAGAGCGGAGAGCAUCCAGAGAGCGAGUGAGGGGAGGAAGGAGGACGGGACUGAGAGAGGGAGAGAGAUAUAUAUAGAGAGAGAGAGAGCGGCCAGGACAACAACGGGGACCCGACGGAGAGCAUCCCGCUUCAGACGACCCUCUGCCCGCAAGCAUCAUCCCAACAAACAACGAGAUCCCGAACGCCGCUUCUCCACCAAAAGGCACACUUGCUCCUGAUCUGUUUACCCCCUACCCCCUGCAAUACCCAGUCCUCCUCUCCGCUCCGUCCCGAUGAAGGAGGCCGACGCCAUCAAGCUGUUUGUGGGGCAGAUUCCCCGGAAUCUGGAAGAGAAGGAUCUCAAGCCUAUCUUUGAGCAGUUUGGCAAGAUCUAUGAGCUAACUGUGAUUAAGGACAAAUACACAGGCAUGCACAAAGGAUGUGCGUUUCUGACGUACUGUGCGAGAGAGUCGGCGCUGAAAGCCCAGAGCGCCCUGCACGAGCAGAAAACGCUACCGGGGAUGAAUCGGCCAAUCCAGGUGAAACCAGCUGACAGCGAGGGAAGAGGAGGUCUCUCAGAGGACAGGAAGUUGUUUGUUGGCAUGCUGGGAAAGCAGCAGAGCGAUGAGGAUGUCAGAAGACUGUUUGAGCCCUUUGGCAGCAUAGACGAGUGCACUGUGCUCAGAGGACCUGACGGCACCAGCAAAGGGUGCGCUUUUGUUAAAUUCCAAGGUCACGCUGAAGCCCAGGCUGCCAUCAACAGCUUGCACGGAAGCCGCACAAUGCCCGGAGCGUCGUCCAGUCUGGUGGUGAAGUUUGCCGACACAGAGAAGGAGCGGGGGCUGAGGAGGAUGCAGCAGGUGGCCUCCCAGCUCGGCAUCUUCAGCCCCAUGACCCUCAACUUCCCCGCCUACAAUGCCUACACACAGGCGGUCAACGCACAGCUUGUCCAACAGCAGGCCCUGGUUGCCCAGUCAGCGUACUUGUCUCCUGUGGCAACAGUUGCCGCCGUACAGAUGCAGCAGAUGGCGGCGCUCAAUGCCAACGGAAUCAUCGCCACACCCAUUACACCCAUCACGCCGUCCUCGGGUACAAACACUCCACCAACUAUGGCGGCAACGCCUGUGCCAUCUCUCCCUCCACCAUUAGGAGUGAACGGCUACAGCAGUCUGACAGCCCCCACCAACGGACAACAGGCAACAGAAGCACUAUACACCAAUGGCAUUCACGCAUAUCAAGCUCAGAGUCCAGCAGCUGCCCUGGACCCCCUACAGCAGGCGUAUGCAGGCAUGCAACACUACACAGGUUGGUCGGCGUAUCCUGCUGCCUACGGAUUGGUCGGGCAGCCGUUCCCCCAGCAGCCAACACUGGUUGCCCAGCAACACCAGCAGCCCCAGCAACAGCAGCAGAGAGAAGGUCCAGAGGGCUGUAACAUCUUCAUCUACCACCUGCCUCAGGAGUUCAGUGACUCUGAGAUGCUGCAGAUGUUCCUGCCCUUUGGCAAUGUCAUCUCGGCUAAGGUGUUUGUUGACCGUGCCACCAACCAGAGCAAAUGCUUCGGAUUUGUGAGUUUUGAUAACCCAGCCAGUGCUCAGGCCGCCAUUCAGGCCAUGAAUGGCUUCCAGAUUGGCAUGAAAAGACUGAAAGUGCAGCUGAAAAGGCCCAAAGAUGCCAACCGCCCAUACUGAGUGACAACUGAUUGGAUGAAGAAGACAUAAAGAGAGAUCCUACCGUCCAAUCAUAAUUCACGAGGACCCCAUCGCUAUGGCAAUGGUUGCCUAAUGACCGAUAAAGCCCUGACCCCCCCUUCCUCUCGCAUUGUUGUGACCUUUCAGAGUCCAGCCGAGGUGGAGUCCCGGGGUUCACAGCGCUUUCAGACUGCCCGCUGCCUUUGAGCGUCCGGGGAGUGCUGCCAAACACACGGACACACACUCACAUGAACACACAUGCGCUCGUAAACACUGAACCUCGAAUGGUGCAAGGCUGAUAUACAAAUGUACAUAAAGUGCACAAGUACACACACACACACACUCGCACACACACACACCUCUGCAGACACCCAGAAAAUACACACGGUUCACACCGGUCAGUAAUCGUACCCAUACAACCAAAAGUUUGGUUUGUCUGUGUGGAGUUUGACAACAGGGUGUUUAGUACAGUUAAGACGACUCAGACAGAGCAUGUAUGGAAGAUACUGAUGAAAAAUGAUGAUAUAUCACGUCUAUAGACUUUAACAUGUCUAUUCCAUGACAAAUAUAGAGGGGCCGAUGUUUCAUAAUAAAAAAAAGAAAGAAAAUACAAAAAAAAGAUGAAUUAAUUCGUAGGUUAGAGAGAGACUUUGGAGAAAAUCCUAAUGACUUGUAAAUAAUUUAGUUUACAAAGAACAGCAUUUAAAAAAAACAAGAAAAAAAUGCAAAAAGAAUACUACUUUAGAUAAACACUGAACAGGACACAGCAACAUUAUUAUUAUUAAUGUUAUUAUUAUUAUAUUAUUAUUAUUCUUAUUACCACUAGUGAAAUCAUCAUCCUCAUAAAGGGAUAUUACAUUCCAAAUUGUAAAAUGGGAAAUCACUAACCUAUUUUAAAUUUCUACUUAGAUUUUAGGUAAAACUCUGGGGGGGGGGAUUGCACUUUUAUUCGGGAGGUUUUAAUAUUUGAGCUAUUUUUUAUUUAUUUACUAAUUUAUCAAUUAUUUUGUUUAUUGGGGGAAGGGGUUGCAAUAUUUUGAUUUUAGAAUUUUCUAGAGAAAAACUUUUGAGGGCCUGUUUCUGUCAGACUCUUGCAAUCGAGUAAUUAUAAUGUAUGUAUUAAUUAUUACAGCAAUUAUAUUUAUUUCUAAUUUAUUGAAUCCUGUUUUUGAUCCACUCUCUUUUUAAGUUAAAAUAAAAAGUAUCAUACUA